UACGUAGGGGGCUAGCGUUGUCCGGAAUCAUUGGGCGUAAAGCGCGUGUAGGCGGUCCGGUAAGUCCGCUGUGAAAGUCGGGGGCUCAACCCUCGGAUGCCGGUGGAUACUGUCGGGCUUGAGUACGGAAGAGGCGAGUGGAAUUCCUGGUGUAGCGGUGAAAUGCGCAGAUAUCAGGAGGAACACCAAUUGCGAAGGCAGCUCGCUGGGACGUUACUGACGCUGUAGCGCGAAAGCGUGGGGAGCAAACAGG
rnacentral:rRNA from 1 species